rnacentral:rRNA from 1 species
UACGUAGGGUGCGAGCGUUAAUCGGAAUUACUGGGCGUAAAGCGUGCGCAGGCGGUUUUGUAAGCCAGAUGUGAAAUCCCCGGGCUUAACCUGGGAAUGGCAUUUGGGACUGCAAGGCUUGAGUGCGGCAGAGGAGACUGGAAUUCCUGGUGUAGCAGUGAAAUGCGUAGAUAUCAGGAGGAACACCGAUGGCGAAGGCAGGUCUCUGGGCUGACACUGACGCUCAUGCACGAAGGCGUGGGGAGCAAGCAGG